UACAAUGUACAGGGUAUUAUAGUGAGAAUUCUACUGAUAAUGCACAGUAAAGGUUGAUACAAUCAUUACAAUGUACAGGGUAUUAUAGUGAGAAUUCUACUGAUAAUGCACAGUAAAGGUUGAUACAAUCAUUACAAUGUACAGGGUAUUAUACUGAGAAUUCUACUGAUAAUGCACAGUAAAGGUUGAUACAAUCAUUACAAUGUACAGGGUAUUAUACUGAGAAUUCUACUGAUAAUGCACAGUAAAGGUUGAUACAAUCAUUACAAUGUACAGGGUAUUAUUCUGAGAAUUCUACUGAUAAUGCACAGUAAAGGUUGAUACAAUCAUUACAAUGUACAGGGUAUUAUAGUGAGAAUUCUACUGAUAAUGCACAGUAAAGGUUGAUACAAUCAUUACAAUGUACAGGGUAUUAUAGUGAGAAUUCUACUGAUAAUGCACAGUAAAGGUUGAUACAAUCAUUACAAUGUACAGGGUAUUAUAGUGAGAAUUCUACUGAUAAUGCACAGUAAAGGUUGAUACAAUCAUUACAAUGUACAGGGUAUUAUAGUGAGAAUUCUACUGAUAAUGCACAGUAAAGGUUGAUACAAUCAUUACAAUGUACAGGGUAUUAUUCUGAGAAUUCUACUGAUAAUGCACAGUAAAGGUUGAUACAAUCAUUACAAUGUACAGGGUAUUAUAGUGAGAAUUCUACUGAUAAUGCACAGUAAAGGUUGAUACAAUCAUUACAAUGUACAGGGUAUUAUUCUGAGAAUUCUACUGAUAAUGCACAGUAAAGGUUGAUACAAUCAUUACAAUGUACAGGGUAUUAUUCUGGGAAUUCUACUCAUGCUUCAUCAUGAGUCAUGAGGGAUGGAAUUAUUUACAGGGUUUUUGAGCAGAGGGUUAAUGAGUUUACAAUAUUUCAUAUGUAUCAUUUAUAAAUAGCCUAUCAAUGAUUACAUGAAUAGCUGAAAUGUUCAUUUAGUUGGCUGUUUACUAAUCAAAUAUACUUACAAACCCUUUGUGGUAUGCCAUGUGUCUGAGUUAAUAAACAUGACAUAACUUUAUAACAUGCUGCAGCUUAAGUAGAAUAUGCGGAGACAAUAAAUACAUAUGUUGAACACAUCUCCACAAGCCACACCUAAAAAAACGGAUUCCAGUGAAAGUUUAAACAUGACAGCUGAUAUAAAAUGGUAACUACGUAGGCUACAACAUCUAUUUUCUUUUACUUCUUAGUUCUUCAACAACAACAAGCGCUGCAAUAAAUGUGGGGAUGGAAGUCAUAUAACUAAACGUGUCUACACGGUCAUAAGUGACCGAUAGAAAAAACGAAUUCAUCAACUCGAAUGAAAUAAGGCCAAUAGACUGGAAGA